rnacentral:rRNA from 1 species
UUUAAAUUUAGAGUUUGAUCCUGGCUCAGGACGAACGCUGGCGGCGUGCUUAACACAUGCAAGUCGAGCGAUGAAGCUUCCUUCGGGAAGUGGAUUAGCGGCGGACGGGUGAGUAACACGUGGGUAACCUGCCUCAAGUGGGGGAUAGCCUUCCGAAAGGAAGAUUAAUACCGCAUAAUAUAGGAGAAUCGCAUGAUUUUCUUAUCAAAGAUUUAUUGCUUUGAGAUGGACCCGCGGCGCAUUAGCUAGUUGGUAAGGUAAUGGCUUACCAAGGCAACGAUGCGUAGCCGACCUGAGAGGGUGAUCGGCCACAUUGGAACUGAGACACGGUCCAGACUCCUACGGGAGGCAGCAGUGGGGA